UGGGCUACAAGUGAUGGCAGGGGAGGACAAGUGUGAUGACGACCAUAGGAGAGGAAGUGGAGCUUGUUGUCAAAUAGAAAUGACCCAACUAUUAUGACAUUCAAUGAGAGAUGUUGGUGGAGAUGCUAACGUGCUAACCGACACCGGCGGAGGCCAGGUGGGCGGAUCAAGGCGCGCGGCGAUGGGGUGGCAUGAGCGGGCCGAGCGAGGCCAUCCCACACAUAUGCUCAAUCUCGCUCCUCUCAGGCAGGCAGGCGAGCAGGCAGGGCCCGGGCCUCCCACCCACGACAGCCUCUUCAAGCCUCCGCCCAUAUAUCCUCUAUUCAUCGACUUAGUCACCCAGCCAGCCCCAUUCCACACAAGCAACCUGGACUUUGCUCCUGUACGGAGGAGGAGGAGGUGACGGAAAGAGAAUUGGACUGACAACUGGACGCGGAUCACAUGUGGGAUACGUCAUCUUUUACAAUAACCAAGUCAAUAUGCCCACUCAGCAGGCAUGAGCAGGAGAGGAGGUGGGAAGAUAAGCGAGGACAAUGGAGGAUGAGCGGCCUAUCAUAUUGGCAAUAUAUGACGCAAAGUAUCACGAUGCAACCAAUAGGUCACAAUUGGAAGGAAGAACGCUCCAUGCUGCAAGACAAGCAGAGCUCAAGGCGCUGACCUCGCCCCCGAGACCCCCAGGAGGGAUGAUGACCAUUUCUUGGCUUCUGGGUGUCUCGGACAAAAAUAGCACCGAGCCAGUUGCCUUCACUGCCUAUUAGUGCUGUCCAUGACAUCGGCGGACAUGACACGACGUUUAACAUACAGGGACUAAUGAUCUGUGCAUGUCUUCAAAAGUGACAUCAUUGCUGCAUGAUGGGAGGAGAGCAGGGAGGAGGUUCAAGAGGUGCAACAUGUGAUGACGAUAAAGAUGUGAGUAAGACAUCUGAAAAGCCAGAUAUUAUUAGUAUAAAGAGAGUGCAGGAUUCACGUCCAUGUCUACAGGAAUAAGUUUUGCUUCUGGUUUUUGGCUGCGUUUAACACAUGCAGUAAUUACACGUGGCUCUUAUGGCUACAUGCAGCAUACCGCAUUCAAGAGCUUUUUGUUUUUUUCGGAAUUCAAUUGGAUUUUGUACAAAAAUGCACUCAAAUAAAAUUAGAAAAGAAAUAUUUUGAGGGUGAUGCUGUAUUUAGUUGUGUAAAUUACAAAGAUGCUAAGCAGAGCUAUAGAAAAGUAUUUACAAUGAUUCUCAAUUUUCUUUUCUAGCCGGAGUCAUGCAACUUUCAGCUUUUUAUUCUGAUACAUUAUAUAAAUAAAUAAUUUAAUUUACUGUUGAAAUAAUAUAUUCUUAAAUUACAUCUUCUUUUUCUAACAACAAACAAAACAAUUAUAACUUCUCAAAAAUUACCAUAUUUUACUUUAUUCUGGAAUCUUAUGACUUUUUUUUCCCUAAAAAUCAACUAUGUACAACUUCACUUUAAAUAUAUAUGAAUUUUGGUAUUUGCAAAAUACGAUCGUCAUGUAUGAAAUAUUUUUCUUAAAAAAAAUCCAACUUUAAUUUUAAAGUUAGUUUGAAUGUUCCAAAUUCAUUCUUGAAAGUUCUGAAUUAUUUUUGUAUUAAAAAAAAGAAAGAAAAGAGAAAGAAAAAAAAUACUUACUUGUUUUCACACGUCUAGUUGACCUGAGAACAAAUUUGCGUUAUUUUCUUGGAAUUCUAUUUUUUCUGACAUUGCAAGUACCAACAAGAUUUUGGUGUGUAGAAGUGACGGGAUUAGGUGGUUGUGCCUUGGCUGAGAUCUUACAAGAGCUCUGAGUUGAAUGAAGCCUUUAAUGGCCAAGGUGGUAAAAUAAACACCAAUCUGUACACAAAUUAUCAAAUUAGUGUGAUGUUCUGCUCAACAAACAUUUACACCAGUGUGAUGCAUGAAGUGCACUCACAUGCACGCACUUGUACCAAGCAUGCGGUCAUUGUUGUUUUACAGGCUUCUUUUUUUCAUGUUUGCAGUCGCCAAACAGCCGUUUGUUUUGGCGGAACCAAAUAAGAAGCUAGUAGUUAGAAGGAAGAAGAGACCAAAAAAAGAACAAAACGAAAAACGUUUUAAUUAUGAUUCCAUCAAACGUGGACUUUGAUUUUGGAUGUUUGCUUG